rnacentral:rRNA from 1 species
CCGGCACGGGUGAGUAACACGUAUCCAACCUGCCGUCUACUCUUGGACAGCCUUCUGAAAGGAAGAUUAAUACAAGAUGGCAUCAUGAGUCCGCAUGUUCACAUGAUUAAAGGUAUUCCGGUAGACGAUGGGGAUGCGUUCCAUUAGAUAGUAGGCGGGGUAACGGCCCACCAAACCUUCGAUGGAUAGGGGUUCUGAGAGGAAGGUCCCCCACAUUGGAACUGAGACACGGUCCAA